rnacentral:rRNA from 1 species
ACCCGCUGAACUUAAGCAUAUCAAUAAGCGGAGGAAAAGAAACCAACCGGGAUUACCUCAGUAACGGCGAGUGAAGCGGUAACAGCUCAAAUUUGAAAUCUGGCUCCUCGGGGCCCGAAUUGUAAUUUGUAGAAGAUGCUUUGGGUCUGGGCCUGGCCUAAGUUCCUUGGAACAGGACGUCGUAGAGGGUGAGAAUCCCGUAUGCGGCUGGCGCCCGUGCCCGUGUAAAGCUCUUUCAACGAGUCGAGUUGUUUGGGAAUGCAGCUCUAAAUGGGUGGUAAAUUUCAUCUAAAGCUAAAUACUGGCCAGAGACCGAUAGCGCACAAGUAGAGUGAUCGAAAGAUGAAAAGCACUUUGGAAAGAGAGUUAAACAGUACGUGAAAUUGUUGAAAGGGAAGCGCUGGCAACCAGACUUGGGCGCUGUUGAUCCGCUGGGGUUCUCCCUAGGGCACUCAGCAGCGCGCAGGCCAGCAUCGGUUUGGGGGGUUGGAGAAAGGCUGGUGGAAUGUAGCUGCCUUCGGGCAGUGUUAUAGCCACUGGCGGCAUGCAGCCACCCCGGACCGAGGACCGCGCUUCGGCUAGGAUGCUGGCGUAAUGGUUGUCAGCGACCCGUCUUGAAACACGGACCAAGG